ACAUUUAAAGGAGAUUUCUGAGCAGCUGCAGACCUCGCCAAGACCAUGCAGAUUCCACUGACUAUUCCCAUGCCUGUGCUCCAGCUGCUCAGGCUUGAAGCUACUUCUUAGAACCACUGUAUAGAACAUGCUACCUGAUCAAGAAUAAAUCAACACCUUGCUUCCUGUCUUUUAUCCAUUAGAUAUCCAGGUGAAUCUGGAUUGGGAAAGUCGACAUUAAUCAACUCAUUAUUCCUCACAGAUUUGUAUUCUCCAGAGUAUCCAGGUCCUUCUCAUAGAAUUAAAAAGACUGUACAGGUGGAACAAUCCAAAGUUUUAAUCAAAGAAGGUGGUGUUCAGUUGCUGCUCACAAUAGUUGAUACCCCAGGAUUUGGAGAUGCAGUGGAUAAUAGUA
rnacentral:sRNA from 1 species